rnacentral:rRNA from 1 species
UACAGAGGUCUCAAGCGUUGUUCGGAUUCAUUGGGCGUAAAGGGUGCGUAGGCGGCGCGGUAAGUCGGGUGUGAAAUCUGGAGCUUAACUCCGAAACUGCAUUCGAUACUGCCGUGCUUGAGGACUGGAGAGGAGACUGGAAUUUACGGUGUAGCGGUGAAAUGCGUAGAUAUCGUAAGGAAGACCAGUGGCGAAGGCGGGUCUCUGGACAGUUCCUGACGCUGAGGCACGAAGGUCAGGGGAGCAAACGGG